UGGCUUUAGCUUAACCGGUAAAGUGCCACACUGUGAAUGUGGAGAACAGGGUUCAAGUCCCGGAGUCAACCA
rnacentral:tRNA from 1 species